UACAGAGGGUGCGAGCGUUAAUCGGAAUUACUGGGCGUAAAGCGUGCGCAGGCGGUUGGCAAAGUCAGCUGUGAAAGCCCCGGGCUUAACCUGGGAAUGGCGGUUGAAACUAGUCGACUCGAAUCUGGCAGAGGGGGGUGGAAUUCCACGUGUAGCAGUGAAAUGCGUAGAGAUGUGGAGGAACACCGAUGGCGAAGGCAGCCCCCUGGGCUGAGAUUGACGCUCAGGCACGAAAGCGUGGGGAGCAAACAGG
rnacentral:rRNA from 1 species